GCGUCUGUAGCCUAUAUAUAGUGGUCAAAGGCAGCACUCUAGUAUGGAGGUCGUGGGUUCAAAUCCCACCAGACACA
rnacentral:tRNA from 1 species